AAAGCUUCUGUUGUUAGGGAAGAACCAAGUACCGUUUCGAAUAGGGCGGUACCUUGACGGUACCUAACCAGAAAAGCCACGGCUAACUACGUGCCAGCAGCCGCGGUAAUACGUAGGUGGCAAGCGUUGUCCGGAAUUAUUGGGCGUAAAGGGCUCGCAGGCGGUUUCUUAAGUCUGAUGUGAAAGCCCCCGGCUCAACCGGGGAGGGUCAUUGGAAACUGGGGAACUUGAGUGCAGAAGAGGAGAGUGGAAUUCCACGUGUAGCGGUGAAAUGCGUAGAGAUGUGGAGGAACACCAGUGGCGAAGGCGACUCUCUGGUCUGUAACUGACGCUGAGGAGCGAAAGCGUGGGGAGCGAACAGGAUUAGAUACCCUGGUAGUCCACGCCGUAAACGAUGAGUGCUAAGUGUUAGGGGGUUUCCGCCCCUUAGUGCUGCAGCUAACGCAUUAAGCACUCCGCCUGGGGAGUACGGUCGCAAGACUGAAACUCAAAGGAAUUGACGGGGGCCCGCACAAGCGGUGGAGCAUGUGGUUUAAUUCGAAGCAACGCGAAGAACCUUACCAGGUCUUGACAUCCUCUGACAAUCCUAGAGAUAGGACGUCCCCUUCGGGGGCAGAGUGACAGGUGGUGCAUGGUUGUCGUCAGCUCGUGUCGUGAGAUGUUGGGUUAAGUCCCGCAACGAGCGCAACCCUUGAUCUUAGUUGCCAGCAUUCAGUUGGGCACUCUAAGGUGACUGCCGGUGACAAACCGGAGGAAGGUGGGGAUGACGUCAAAUCAUCAUGCCCCUUAUGACCUGGGCUACACACGUGCUACAAUGGACAGAACAAAGGGCAGCGAAACCGCGAGGUUAAGCCAAUCCCACAAAUCUGUUCUCAGUUCGGAUCGCAGUCUGCAACUCGACUGCGUGAAGCGGAAUCGCUAGUAAUCGCGGAUCAGCAUGCCGCGGUGAAUACGUU
rnacentral:rRNA from 1 species